rnacentral:rRNA from 1 species
GACGAACGCUGGCGGCGUGCCUAAUACAUGCAAGUAGAACGCUGAAGGAGGAGCUUGCUUCUCUGGAUGAGUUGCGAACGGGUGAGUAACGCGUAGGUAACCUGCCUGGUAGCGGGGGAUAACUAUUGGAAACGAUAGCUAAUACCGCAUAAGAGUAGAUGUUGCAUGACAUUUGCUUAAAAGGUGCAAUUGCAUCACUACCAGAUGGACCUGCGUUGUAUUAGCUAGUUGGUGGGGUAACGGCUCACCAAGGCGACGAUACAUAGCCGACCUGAGAGGGGGAUCGGCCACACUGGGAAUGGGACACGGCCCAGACUCCUACGGGAGGCAGCAGUAGGGAAUCUUCGGCAAUGGACGGAAGUCUGACCGAGCAACGCCGCGUGAGUGAAGAAGGUUUUCGGAUCGUAAAGCUCUGUUGUAAGAGAAGAACGAGUGUGAGAGUGGAAAGUUCACACUGUGACGGUAUCUUACCAGAAAGGGACGGCUAACUACGUG